ACAUGCAUUCGAGCGGCAGCGGGAAGAUAGCUUGCUAUCUUUGCCGGCGAGCGGCGGACGGGUGAGUAAUCCCUAGGGAUCUGCCCAGUCGAGGGGAAUAACAGUUGGAAACGACUGCUAAUACCGCAUACGGCCUACGGGGGAAAGGAGGGGACCUUCGGGCCUUCCGCGAUUGGAUGAACCUAGGUGGGAUUAGCUAGUUGGUGAGGUAAUGGCUCACCAAGGCGACGAUCCCUAGCUGUUCUGAGAGGAUGAUCAGCCACACUGGCACUGAGACACGGCCCAGACUCCUACGGGAGGCAGCAGUGGGGAAUAUUGCACAAUGGGGGAAACCCUGAUGGAGCCAUGGCGCGUGUGUGAAGAAGGCCUUCGGGUUGUAAAGCACUUUCAGUAGGGAGGAAAGGUUAACAAUUAAUACUUGUUAGCUGUGACGUUACCUACAAAAGAAGGACCGGCUAACUCCGUGCCAGCAGCCGCGGUAAUACGGAGGGUCCGAGCGUUAAUCGGAAAAACUGGGCGUAAAGCGUGCGCAGGCGGUUAUUUAAGCCAGAUGUGAAAGCCCCGGGCUCAACCUGGGAAUUGCAUUUGGAACUGGGUAACUAGAGUCUUGUAGAGGGAGGUAGAAUUUCAGGUGUAGCGGUGAAAUGCGUAGAUAUCUGAAGGAAUACGGGUGGCGAAGGCGGCCUCCUGGACAAAGACUGACGCUCAUGCACGAAAGCGUGGGGAGCAAACAGGAUUAGAUACCCUGGUAGUCCACGCCGAAAACGAUGUCUACUCGGAGUUUGGUGCCUUGAGCACUGGGCUCUCCAGCUAACGCAAUAAGUA
rnacentral:rRNA from 1 species